UUUCUACUGCAUACUGCUAUGAUACAGCCUUCAGGGUUAUUUCUGCACAAUAGGCAUUCAGUAUGGUAUUCUCCGCUCUUCUAGGAAAGCCAUACAAAUGUGAACUACAAAGCAAAAAUCCUUCAUACAUUUUUUAAAAAGCAGCAUUAGUAAAACAAGUAUGUGAAGGAAAUAUGGCAUUCCAAGUAUUAAGCAAUAUAAAAUGAUGAGUACUUUGUUUAUUAUUGCAUUGUGGUCAAGGACUAGUAUGAACUGUAAUUUAUAACAAAUUUGCUGUUUUUGAAAUCUGGAUAUUUUUCUCCGUAGUGAAAUCAUACAGGAUUUGCCAGCUUCCUAAAAUUAUCAUCAUUAGGACCCAUAUUACUAAAGAAAGUGUAUAAAGAAGCAUGCAAGGUUAUUGUUACUAUGUACAUAUACUCUAGCUUUUGAAUAUGCAUGAAGGUUAUAUUACAACUAGGAACAAAUGCAUAACAUUCUUCUGCUAAUCAGUAGCAGAUCAGAAAUUUGGCAAUCUUUUCUUGUAAGUUCUUCCAUAAUGUGUGGUCUGUUACUCUAGAUGCAACCUGACACUUAUGUUUACAUUAUUCAAUAGUAUAAUUUUUGUAAGACUUCUGGAGGGAAUGCGUCACAGCAAAAGCAUGCUUUUCAUUGGUUUUCAUACUGCUUUUGAAUCCUCAGGAAAAAAAAAAUCCCAUCAUAUGUACCAGACAGUUCAUAUUUAUCUGCUCUCUUGUAUCCCUGAAGCUAUGUUAACUACUUAAGAACAAGAGGAAAUAUUUGGGAUUUGUAUUUAUAAAUUGAACAUUUGUAAUGAUAACUACUAGUGGAGACAUCUCAACUUUAACAGAUUAUUAGGAAAAAAUGCACCUAUUAUAGCAACUCUUUAGAGCUUUUAUUUCUAACAUUUUCUAACACAGAUGUAGAGAGAUUUUUUUUUUUACCUGCCUGUGCAUUCAGCUUUCUUAUAUACUUUUUUUUUUUAAUUUAAAAAUUAGUAAUAUCAUGUCAGGUACACAAAUAAGGGAAGAAAAAUAAUACUGUAUUUCAGUGAGGGUGGUUAUUUGCUUACCUAAUUUCAUAGUUUGGGGUUCAGGAAAUUUCAUUUAAUGUAUAAGAGUUCAUGAGUCACUAUGUAAAUAAGAUGCACCAACUCAAUAGACCUACAUUUCCCUAAACAUAUUAUGAGUUGUGUUUGUUUAUUCUAGCACUGUUCUUUAAUACUAAAAAAAUAUCUAAAUAGCAUUUUGAUAAUGCCUGAAUUUACAGUGUCACAUUUCCCUAAUGUAACCUCAGGUGAUGGAUAGAUACAUAGGUCUGAAAGAGACUGCAGUCCAAAGACAGACCUGCAAAAUAAACACUCUUAUAUCUUCUGUUUUGUAUUUAAAUGUACAUUAUUCUAAGUCAGGGUUUUUCAUUUCCCUGUCUAACUAUGAGAGUUUAUCCCUUCAGUUGAGCUAGUGAUACUAAUUCAAAAUACAACUGUUCUGUUCUCUCAGUGCUAAUGUAAAUGAAUCGUAAAUGAGGUGGCUAUUUCUAAUGUCAUUAUGUGUUCUCAUCAAGUUGAAGGCACUCUUUACGUAGUUGUUGAUUUGCUUUUUUUUUUUUUUCAGAUCUGAUACUAGCAGCCAUUGAAUCAUUUUGCUCAAUACUACUGUUUGCUUGUCAGCUUUUGGUACAUAUAAACUAAAUGAUCUUUUUAUCCUCAGUUCUUUCCAGCAUUAAGUUAAAUGUCAGACUGAAUAGUAUUUUCCUACAGUACUGUGCAUGUAGGCACGCAUUCUAGAUGCACAAAUCCUUUUCCCCAGACUCUUGUGGGGCCUGAAACAAAAUGAUGUCAAAUUAGAAUAACGUUUAUACGGUUUAAUGUGUAUAUUUAGAUAUAGUCUGACAUCACCUUACAGGUGGCUUUUCUGUGCACAUCAGAAAGGAGCAGCAAGAACAGGUGGAAAAUGGGUUGGGGUUAUCUAUUUUCUGUAUUCCUUUUAAAACUCUUUAUUUUGAAACUGAACUCCUUCAUGAGUAGAUGCUUGCAAGGUUAAUAUAUAUAGUAACAUUAUUAUGGUUAUUAAAAGAGCCUAAUUGCCUGUUGUAAUUGAGUUCCCAGUACUUCUAUGGGCCUUGUAUUCCUACGUGUGUGUACACUUGCUAGAACUUGAUCAAUGUGGAUUCCUUUGAAUUACCUAAAGUCCAGUUUGAAUCUGAAAGUACUAAAACAUUCCUUGUCUUGGUAAACUCAAAUGAAAUUGGAGGGGGAAGAGUAUUGUAACACUGAAUUAUUAAGCAGUAGUCAGUUGCCUUCUUGCUGCAGCCCAGCAUGUGUUGAAUACAACAGAAGAAUGAGCUCUAAUGAAAUAGUGAAAAAUGAAGGUGGUCUAAAUUGUGGAUGUCAGAAGAAAGCGGGGCUUUUAAAUGUAAAAGGAGUUAAAUGUUCCACUUACAUAUAACUAAUGCAAGAAAUGAUGUUUUUGUCACAAGUAUUAGUCGUUUUCUGUGAAUGUUGAGUAAAACUUAUGGACAGUAAAAUCCAAAGAAAGUAAUACAAAUUGAACAAAGCUAAACAAAAAUACAGUUCUUGCAUCAUAUUUUGAAUCUCUGGCCACCGAUUAGGUCAUAUUCCAAGAGUCUGGACAAAUAGCUGGGUGAAAAGUAGUCUCUCAAGACCCUGCUUGUGUUAGGAAAUUUGGGCUAUAGAGGACAAAGGCUGCUGGCAGCAUAUCUCCCUCAGGUAAUGUUACAAACAGCUUAACUGUUUGUGUGUAUGGAAUAAUUUAGUGUUCAUGAUUGUUACAUCAGGCUUCGGUGGUUUUGCCUAAAACUGGGAUAAAACUCUUCAAAAUUACCAUGAUUUGUUUCAGUCGUUAUAAUUACGGUGCUAUUGGUAUUAGCUAGAAGAAGUCCAGCAUAUGUGCUUUAAGCAGGUUCCCAGUCAGCACAGGUGACGCUGCAUUGUGGUUGUCUAGCAAAGAGUCUGUAGAGGCUAGACACACUUGUGGAGUAGCUGUCUGCAUAGGGCAGGUGCCAUACCAAAUACUCCCCUAAUAUUUGCCACUAAAAUAACUUUUCUGUAAUGGUUAAGUGUUGCAAGAGUAUUUUGAAAUUAGAGUAAGUGGCAGAAGAUAUCUCAUGCAUCUCAAAAGUAGGAUACUCCACCAGUAAGUAACACACAUGUAGUGACACAAAGCAAAAAUGAAUGCAAGCACAGUUGUAGAGUUUGGUCACUGGGGAGAUGCUAGAAACAUUGUCGAACAGUGGUUAAGGAUCAGAUAUUAGUUGCAGCCAUCUCACAGAUGUUUUUAUUCUGCAUUAGGCCAAGAUGAAAUAGGAUGGGUUGCUACACAGAACUAAGCAUUUGAGAACAGCAGUGUCAAGUGCAAUUGACAUGGUACUAAAGUGAUUUUUGCAGCAUUUGGGAAUGUGUAGGCUAUAUCACAAGCAUGGCAGGCUAACCACAAUAAUUCUAUUGACACUUCAGCUGCUGUCCUGAAACUGCUAAACUUUGUCAAUACUGUUAAUUAAGCUUUUUCAGCAGUAGUUCAGAAGUCUCAUAUCUGAAAAUCAAUAGAGGGACAGUUUUCUUCUGAUUGUAGACAAACUUAUAUGUAGCUGUCAUUGACAAUACCUUGCAUGCUGCAGUAUAUGUUGAAUUUGGCACAGAAAAUCUGACCCUUUUUUGGAGAUCAGCAGUUCAUACUUUCCAGAUCAUGUUCAUGACUAGCAGUCAGUGCUGCAUUCUGCAGCAGCCUAGGCCAAAACUGUUUAGUAACUAUUGUGAAAUGGGGAUCAAGAGUCUUAGCAGCUUCCUCUUGGCUGUCCAUAGGUAACAACAGUUAGUGUCUGUUGUAAGUGUUUACUACGGGAUAAUCCAGGAGUAGCAGUAUUAGUAGGGUUCUCGGAACACAAACCUCUUCAGGGAAAAAAAGUAUGCAUGGACUUUCAAUAACUAGUUGAGGAAACACUCUAGUCCAUUUUUUCUACAAGACUGCAGUAUUAGCAAACAUCACACGGUGUUUUCAGGAUUGAGUCAUGGUUUGUUCACCUUCAUCCAAAUCCCAGUUUUGGCGAGGCUUGGAAUGUAGUGAAAUUGUAUGAUCUCAGUUUGAAGAGUGAAGUGUGGACUGUAUGUAUACUAUAAUAAACAGGAAUAAUACUGCAGCUCAAAAUAAAAUAUACAAACAAGUGAAAAAUAGCCUGGAAUGAUGAAACUUCUUUGGAUAUCAAUCUGAUAGUCUACAGUGCUGUGAAACAAAGGACACAGCAAAUUAAGCUUUAACAUGCUUUUUGAAGUGUGAUUGUUCCUAUCAGCCUUUCCCAAGAACCAAGAGUAUACAAUAUACUGCACUCUGAAAAACAAGGCAGUAAUGUGUCAUAAAGUUACGUGCAAGACAGUGAGACAUUGCAUUUGAAGACUGCUUAUAGGAGCUGUUUUUGCAACUCAGUGAAGAGAAAUACUUGGCAAAGCAUCCAUUUAUUAAAGACAGGCUUACUAGAUUUCCUUUUCUUGAAACUACUAUUCAGCCAAGAAUUCUCCAAGCAUUACCACUGUGUUAGAUAAUAAGGGUAUCAUGGAUAUUCUAUGUUUUGGUUUUCCAAAAUUCUGUUAACCCCUUGUGGGUGAUUCCUUGAGGGUUAGUUGAAGCUGUUCAUAAAGCAUUUUAACAGGAUGAAAAAAUUUAGAAUAAACUUUUCUUCAUUUAAUCCUCUCUAACUGCAAUAUUUAUUCAACUGGUUACCAUAAAGAAUUCAGUUUAGGAUAGUGUUCCUCUUUAGAUGAGGAAUGUAACUUCAAAAAAUUUUGUGUGCCUUAUACUUUGGCCAGAAUGGCCUCGUGUAUGUCCCGUAGCUUGAAGAGGUACUUUAUUCCAUCACAGUUGUCACAUAAGCAGGUGGGCAGGUUAUUUGAAUUCUAUAUUGUACUCGGGAUUCAGAAUGGAUGAAGAGUGGUUUGGUGCUGGUACAGAAAAUGUUUAAUACGGUGUGUUUUGUCUUGUUUCACUUCAUAUUCAAUGCAUUGUGUUUAGUUUACAUUUAGUCAUCUGUAUCUGUGAUGUUUGACACUUCAAUGGUAUUAGUUGCCAUUGCAGAAGAUGUUUAAGAUAUUAAGUCAUGUUCUAGAAGUACUUCAAAAUUAAAUGAAUUCUUUCAAUAUAAAUGAAAUAUUCAAAACUUUAAAUGUUUGCAAGUAAAAAUACGUACUCAUCUACCUGAAUUGUGUCUAAUUUAAGUGUGGACUUAAGCUGAGUUAAACACUUUUACUCUUUUUAGGAUCACUAAUAGUUUGUGUGUGUGCAUUUUUUACUGGAAAACAUUAUCUUUAAAAACAUUUUUCUAUUUCCUUUUUUUUUUCAGUGAAGAUUAACAAAUUCUGCCCUGGGGAGAAAAAGACUGUCUUGGAUGAUUUUGUCAAGCUGUUGAUGUGAUGUUUAAUAUUUAAAGGUUUUAAUGGUUUUGGGGAUGGUGAUAAUCCUUCUCACUUUGCUUACACCAUGCUGGUGUGUCUACCAGAGCACUGUUUAUUUCUAAACAGUGAUACUCAGUUUAAAUAACAUGUCAGUUUCUUUUGUAGUUUUGACUGGUAGUUGCAUUUGGUUUUCAGUACAGUACAAGCUCAGGUGUAGGGGGUGUGUGUGGAGCUACAGAUUAUCUAGCCAUUUACACAUUUUCAGCACUGCUAAUUCAGUAUGUUUUGUAAUUAAAUAAUUGGAAUAUCCUAUCUUAGUUUUGCCUGUACUGCUUGCUACAACUUGUUUUUGUAAGCAAUUGUAGUUUGAUGAAGCUUACGAUGGUUUGGAAAACCUGGCUGGCUGGAUACUGAUAGACAGCUUUCUGUAAGAAUGUCUGCAGGCAACAAGUUACUCCUCAAGAUGAAGCAGCCUCCUGUUCCUUCUGAACACUUAUAGGAUGUAUGUGUGUGUGUAUAUAUAUAUAUUUUUUUUAAUACAGAAAACUUUACAUUUUGCACAUGGCCUUGAACCUAAUGUGAAGUGCUGCAUAGUUUUAUCAAUGAGCUGCAGUUGCACACUUAUCCCUGUAUAUGUUUGUUUAGUUUUAGGAUAGGGUAAAUGAUCUGGAUUUCUUCCUCUGAGAGCCUUUUCUUCUGGUGGAUGGUAGUGCUGUCUCUGCUGGGUAUUGGAAGGAGGAGUGACUGAGAUUGAGCUUACACAACCUCCUAACAUCUCGAGUGUCUGUUUUGUCUGGACUUCCUUCAUGCAGCAUUCUUGUGCAAAAAUUUCAGGGCUUUAGUCUGGAAGCACUGGGUCAAAGAAUAUGUCUGCUUGAAGAGUAUGCAAGCGAUUUUUUUGUUUCAUUACACAGUAUUUUUAUUUUCUAUCAAGGAAUACUUGUUCUGAAGUGCUUGCUACAGUGGCUGUUCAGAAAAAUAAAAGGAGUAUAUCAUGUUUAGUUUGUCUGGUUUCUAAGGGGUUAUUCAACAUGCAAAUACUUGUUUGGUUUUGUAAGUCUAAAUAUGCAAGCAGUGUUUCUAAUCUGCUAGAAAGAAUAAAAGUAAGCUGUUGAUACAGUCUAGUAAUCAAGAGGAGUAAGAAGUAACUUCAUUUUUGGAACAGUUUUGUUUUGUAUUUCUGAUUUUUAAAGACUAGGUCAUACUUUCAUGUUCUCAUAAACAAUGCCGUUAUCCUGGCCUUGUCUAGAAUGCUAAAGUUAGUAUCCCCUGUUAUUGAAUAUUUCUGUAGAUGACAUGAAUUCUUUUUGUCUUGUGAGGAGUAGUGAAUAAACAAGUCCUUGUAGAGACCUUGUUUUUCUGUCCACUAAAAUGUCUCUUUCCUCGUUUGUGUAGUAAAUCCAAAUUUAGAUAGAUAAGACACGUAUUCUGCUUACUGUCUGAGAAAAUUCUAUGUACAGACUUGAAAGCGGUUUCUAGUCUUGAAGUUCAAGCUGAAUUGUUUUAUUAGUCAGAAAGAAAAAGCUUUCCUUGUCUGAAAGGGAAAGUUGCAGACCAGUAAUCCCAUAGGAUUGGGCAUACUGCAGAAGAGCUUGGUGCUUUUUAACAACUACCCAUUUCUACUAAGAUGAUCAAUGAUGAAAUGGAAAAUGAUGUUCUUCCAGGACAGCUUGUUGUGUGCCUUUAAACUACUUUAGGGGUUGCUUUCUUAAAUCAGGAAUGUUAAACUGUGUUAAGUGAGGACAUGGACCAUGGAGAGAGCAACUGAUGUUCAGACCACAGAGUUUAUUAGUUCUUGUGUUGUGAAGUCUUGCAUGCAUUGUAGGGAGGUUCUCAAUCUCUUGUUUGGUCUUGACAUACUCAGUGCUAUUCAUUCCAUAAAGCCCAACCAUUUAUACUUUGUGUAAAGGAAUAUCUUUGCUUGAUGGGAAAUAAUUUUAAUCCUGUUAACUAUUAGCUUGUAUAAUUUUAUUCUUUAUUCUUCUGGUUUUUAUUCUUUCUUAAGUGACCACAUUUUUGCCACCGUGCCUACUCCAUUUGAAAGCAUUCUUGGGUCAAAUAAUUCUAGCUGUCUGAUAAGUCAGAAGUUGAAUAACAUCUUCUGUUUCCAAAACAAUUUCUUACUAUUUUAUCACUGUUUAGUAAACAUAAUAGUGCAUUGUAGUCUCCUUUGAUUUUUUUCCCCACAGUAAUAGAAAACCGAAAAGGAAAGCUGUAGUGGAUCAAGUUGAAUUACUGUAUUUGAAUACCUAUUUUUUUUUAUCUUCAUGACAGGUUUCUCUAUUAUAUUAGAAAGUACAAGACCAUGGUUUCUGUCCUGACACAAAAUGUGAAUACACAGUUGGGGAAUGUAACAGAGCUUAUAAAUAAAGUGCUUCAAGAAUUGAAAGAUGGGUUGGUGAGGGGGAAGUUUUCUACUCAUUGUUAUGAAGUCACAUUCAAAUUUGUACAACACAUGUUGGAUUUUCAGAAGUCCCAUCGCCUGUGGAACUGUUUUUGGAAACUGACUCCUCCUUUCCAUAAUGUCAGUAUGUAGAUUUAAAAGUAUUAAACGAACUUAUGAUGAUUCCAGCAGUGUGACAAUUUCUGCUUCUGUUAGACCCACUUCUUGGCAUGUUCUUCUCUCUAUACCCAGUUUUUCUUCCAUGUUUUCUGCAAAACUGUCUAUGUAAAGAGAUUUUCUUUAAAUAAAAGUGUUCUUGCCAUCUUUGUUAUUAUUGAAUUCUGUCUCAUGUUUAUGGUGUUUGGUUUUCUAUUUGUUUGUUUUCAUGUGGUUCUUUCACUGCUUUUCAACUUUUUUAUUAAUUGUUCUGUAGCGUGGUUAGAUGGGAGAACAUAGUACGGGUAGCACAUGUUCACAGAUUACUGUGAUAAUGCAGAAAGAUUGUGAAGCCUGAAAGAAAGCUGUAUUCUGUGUGAUACAGACUUUCCUAAGGGCAAAUAUGCUUUUUUCCCUUGUUAUGUCUGUAGCUGUUAGAUAAAUGUUGUCUGACCAUGUUGAGUUCAUUCUGCUCCAUUUUUCCAUUCACGAUUUGCAUAGUAGACUUUGUUCUCUUGCACGUAUUUCAAAAACAAUGUAGUGAAAUGUAAAAAUGUAAAUAUCCUCAUCCUGAGUUCCAACCUAAGCAGCUGAGCCCACCAAAUAAAAAGCCUCUUUCACAGCUGCUAUUUGGUGGGUAUUGUGCAAGCCAGUUCGUGCUUUGAUACAGCAGCUCGUACAGAAAGUGUAUUGCGAUGUGAAACGUGAAUUUAUAGCAAAACUUCAUGAACUUAGGCUGGUAAAACAGGUUGGGGGUGGGGAAGUAAGCAAGCUGCUGUGAACUCCUAUAAAGUACAGAAAACUUCUCCUUUCCCUCCUUUCUAACAAGUGUAAACUCUUGAGGUUAAGUAGGUGGGGCAACCGGAAGUAAUUACUAAGGCCAGUGGCAUUUUUGCGGUUUAAUAAAGGCAGAAGCUAAUUAUUCAGUUUUUAUUUAAGUGAAAUGAUGCCAAAAAGGAGGUUCCUGCCGAGCAGCUGCACUCCUUCAGUGUUACCCUAAUUUACCACAGACACAACUGUCACAAACAGAACUUUUAAACUUGAUAUAUAGCCACGAAAGUAAGGAGCCCUUUGUCCGGAGUGCAUGCAGAAGAACUCCUUUAUACAAAUCAACCGGCAGAUGACGGACAAUGAUGAAAAUUUGAUUCUUUGAAGUCAUAAUGGUCAUUGAAAUGUGUGAAAUUCUCGUAUUGAAAAGAGAGCGGCUAGCAAGACUCUAAAUCCUGGGUGGUUGCGGGAAGCUUGCUGGGAGGUUUUUCUGUGUUUUGACAUCAACUUCCCAUUGCUUGUUCCCUGUUUCCUUUAUUUAAAAAAAAAAAAAAAAGAGGGGGAUGCUAAACAGUAUAGUUGAUAGUAGUUAUGUACAGUUUUUGCCUAUGCAUGGGGAGAAAUGUCAGUGCUGAAAUAUGAUACCUUUACAAACACCUGACUCAUCCAGUCAAAAAUACUUAUUUUCAGAGAUAUUUUCUAUCGUUUCUGUCUUUGCCUUGAAUUACAGAGUUCAGUUCCUUGUCUCCUUUGGAGUUUGUGUUAUUAGUGGAGCACUACCAGAAAUUUUCCUUUCCUUUAAAAGUUAUCUUUAUGGUGAAUCCUGCUUUCAUUGACUCUGCCUGUGUAUGAGUUUUUCUCCCCCCCCUAUGUAGCACUUCCAUCAUUUUUAUUACUUCUUCCAGGACAGCUUUACCAGCCUUUCCAGCAUGACAAGUGUUCUUAAGUAGUGUAAGUUGUAAUAAAGACACAAACUCUUCUUGGUUUGUAAGCAAUCUGAUGUUAUUUCUGCUGCUUAAAUAAAUGCUUCGUCUCUCUGAGCUUAUUUCAAGAACCAAAUUUCCGCAAAUGGUUAUUAAAAAAAUUGAAAUUACUAUUAAAAAAGAAACACCGUAUAGAUAAAUAAUCCAAAAACGAAACGGUCAGAAUUCGUCUUUUAGAUGAUAGCAUGCAUUACAAACAUGAAGCAGAAUUGUUAAUUUUUAGUACUGCAAAGUUAUACAGUUCAAAUCCGAAGUCUUUUAUGUUAUCACCUUAUUAUUUAGAAUUUGUAAUGCUGAACACCUCACUAAUAUUUUUAUAUGCUAAUGGAGCAAAAUUCAGUAAAGAACACUUAAAAAGGAGGAAAAGAUAGUAGUGUGAAACUAGCUGUCAAAAACAUCAUUGUUUUGGAAAGUUGGUUCACAGGUAGUUUCAAUGAAAACUUGAACUCAGAACAAAGCUCUGAAGACACAGUAGAGAGUUCAACCCAGUGCAGCACAGUUCUUUUCAAGUAUUAUAUUGUUUUAAUGGAAUCUUGGAGCGGGAGCUUUAGCCCAUUGAAAUGUCGCUUAAAGGACAGGUUCUUCUGUCACUAGCUGGAGCUGUGUGGAUGAAAUGAUCACAAUAGAGUGUUGUAAUGCAUUUUAAAAGUGUGAGAAAUCAGUUUGUCUAGACUAAGAGUGCGCCUACAGGGAAUAGGAAUUUUAGAGCUUCUGUGCUCUUUAGGUGUCAAGUAUGUGAUAGAUGCCAAGCCUUUUUAUUCCAUAUCUUUGGCAACAGCUCAGCUAUGCUACAGUACCUUACAUGUCUACAGCAAGCAAAAACAGUGAUUUUAUGUCAGGACAACUUGGGCUUCAGAAACCAGAAACUCAUUGUCCUAACAACUGUCUGUUCAAUUGCCAGCUUUAAAAUGGGGAAGAUAUCAAUAAACAAUUGCUAGAUUCCCAGAAGGCAUGGAAACUUUAGCUAUAAUGAAUCAAAGUGUGAAGAGCUAGCAACAUCAUGUAGAUAUUUUAGUUUCUGAAAGUAGGCAGGUUUUAGCUUUCACCUUGAAAAGAUUUUUUUAUGGGAUGAAUCCUAUUAUUAUUAGUAAAAUAACUUUGAUUUGGAGCCAAACAAGUUCCCAAAAAAACAUGGCUUGAAGGAGCUUGGGAUUUGUCUGGGUUAUUGGUUUUGUUUUCAUCCAGAUGAACAAGUCUAGGCAUUUCUUUACCACAGUUACCUCAUAUAUAUAGCAUUUGCUGGUUUUUAAUAUAUAUUUUUUUUUUAAGUAGUGAUCUGUAUGCACUAAUAUGUAGUUUUUUUAUGGGUUUCUGGUGUGGAGGCUUCAAAAGAGAAAAUGUAAUACGUCUAUAAUGGUAGUUAGUAUAGUAUUUAAUCACAGAGAAUUCAUAAGCAAUUCACAAACCUGUAAAUCUGAAGCAUAAAAUCCAUAAUGGACAUACAAGUUGCUGUGUUAAAUAAUAUUUUUUAUAAAAAGAAAAAAAAAAGUUUUUGUAAUAUUUUCAAGCUUGCAAAUGUAGAGGUAUUUGAUUGCUAACUAAACCAGAAUCUAUCAGUGUAGCAGGAUCCAGAUGAUUUCAGAAGGGAAAAUUAAAUAUUGGGGAAUAUUCUUACAUUUUCUCAAUAGAAACGUGUUUGUUAAAAUACAGAUGUAAAUGAUAAUACACUUGUACAGGUCUAUAAAAGGCAAGGUUGGAGGCAUUACAUACAGGCAUUGAAGUCCCACCAAACUUUUACUGCAUGUAAAAAAAAAAAUGGUUAAACAAAGCAGUUUGCCAGCUCAAAUAAGAAGACUUGAAGCUAUUUCCUUCUGAAACUGUGGUUCAAGCUUCAGCAGUCAGAAAUGCCAGUCUGUCAGGAGGUGUUUCUUGUGUGUGUUGCAACAGUUCAGUGAUUGGUAGUCUUUCAUAUCAUUGCUAGACUCAUUUUAAAAAUAAACAUUACUUGAUCCUAAUGAAAGCAUUUAUAAUGGAAUUGUUAAGAUAUUUUGACAGUUGCCUUUUGGUAGUCUGGGUAGAAAAUUUAAAAUUUGGAAAAUCAGUUUACAUGUUUGUUUGUGUCGCCUUCUGUUCUAAUUGCGAAUACAAGUCAAACACUUUAAACAUGCUCCCUGCUGCAGUUUUGAGUGAUUGAUCUCCCAAAGUCUAUUUUCUGAAGUAAAACAAAAAAUGAGACUUGCCAUAUUUCAAAGGAUUAUAUGGUGACAGCACCAAGAGCUUUUAAGUUUGCCACAAAGCAAAAGCCCAUAAAGUUAGUAGCUACAGACAUGUAAAGCCACAGUAUUUUGUCUAAACUUGUUUGCCUUUUCAUUCAAGUCAUGCCACUGCUGGUGUGAUGCAUUCAAUAUGCCCAGAGUUCUGCUACUCAUUUUUGGACUUUAACCACUUUACAGCUUGGUCCUGGAGAGAGGAGGGGAGGGAGGGAGACCAAGGAGCUCCCACUGGCCUUUUAAGUAUGUAAGGAACAGGAGUAGUUCAGGAUUUGAUGUUUGAUUUCACUCUCUUUACUGUACUAGGGUGAACUGACAGGUUAAUUUUAUGUAAUUACUGUUUAGUUUUUAAAGAGAGAGUUCACUUUAUCAGAUGCUGCUGAGAGUAAUUUUUUUGUGGCAAUUCUAGUGAGGUUUUUCCUUCUUACUCUGUGUUGGAGUCAGCUUCAACAUAAAAAAAAAAUAGGCUUUUUUGUGAUACUUCAGUUUUUAUCUUUGUUAGGUUUAUUUGUAGAAAGCUUACAAGCCAAACCUUAGUUGAGGAGGGCAUCCUACUUCUGACAAUGUAACACAUUAUAAGCCAUUUUUGUGAAGGGUGGAAUCUCCUGAAUACUUUUAUCCUUCAUAAAAAUACCUAUGAGUGUUACCAGUGUCAAAUGGUGCAAGUAAGUGAAGAACAUCCCUUUAAAAAUGUCAAAUUACUGUAUAAUACCUGUUUAAAAGACGUGUACUCAAACUGACACCAAUGGUUGUUGAGCGUUGUUAUUACUCAGCCUAAAAGACUGAGGCCCUACUGUUGGCCUAGAAUUAAUAGUGCUAAACUAGGUAGCCUUAUAAUCUGCAUAUGUUGAAUUUGAGUGAAAAAAAAAAAAAAAAAAGAGUAGGUCUGCACUCUGAGAGAGGGUUAGUAAU